rnacentral:lncRNA from 1 species
AAAUGUUUGUUUUUAUUAAAAUUAUCAGUCUGUUUCCUCUAUUCUGCCAGUGUAUUACAGCCUGCUUGGACCAUGAAAAACUAGAUUGUUGCUGGAGAAUCUGUAGGAAGCAGAAUGUAUAGAGAAGGCAGAGGGGAAGCAGAGCAAAUCAAAUCAUGGGCAUCCAGAGUUCUGAGACAGGAAAAAGAGGGACUAGUAACAGCCGGUGGAGACAACAAAACCAAAACCAAUCAACAAUGAACACAGAAAGCACAAGAGACAGAGACAGUCGACAUGAAACCAAAGGCAAGAGACAAAACCAAACCAAGAACCCCAUGUUGCUGGUGCCAUGUCCCUCUAUGCCCUGGAUGGAAGAGUAUAUUGGAUCUCGUCAGACCCACCUCAUCCCAGAUUGACAUCUCAACAGAUCCAGAUGUCACAGAAAAUUAUGACGACUUAUCAGGAGAGGCUCUUUGAAGAUGCUUGCUGUUUUUCUCACAUGGCAGUUCACUCUGAUAGUUCUUGAAACCAAAAGCACACCUCAGAGCCUUGGAACUUCUCAAGGUUCCCACCUCCUGAGAUGGCCAUUAAGCUGUGAGAGUCCAGCUUUAGAAUUUGGGUGGGUGGUCUGAUCUCUCUGUGGCCUCCAGAAAAUAAUAACCUCACGAGGCAAGAGUAAGACCACCACUACAAUUUUUAAGCCAAAUUUGAAGCAAGCCUUUUAAAAUUCCAGCCAGGACCAUGGACACUGGCCAGAUUCAUACCCGAGACUCAAGCUCAGAAUAUGGUGCUGAAUUAUUACGUUGUUGUUGGUGAUGGUGGUGAGCUUGUAAAGGCACAACCCACAAGACUUUGUACUUCCUGCCUUUGUCCAGUCAGAGCCAAGCACACAUGCUAACGUACUUCCUGCCUGUAAACCUCCUGCACACAUCCUGUGCAGUUGGGGCAACCAAGCUUGUUCUUAAACAAUAGCCACCAGCAUUCUAGGAAGUUAUCUGUCCUUGGGCAAGUGGGGCUUACCAUUAGAGGGGGUUUGUUUUUAUAGAUCUCUCAAGCACAGAUUUAAAACAUAAUGUUAGCCAUCACAUUAGGGACAGGAAGCUAUUGUUCAGAGGGUUGUCACACCUUUCCCAGCUCUCUGGCUGUUGUACUCCACCAUGGAACAUCCACAGAGGUCUUUUAAAUGUCCUAAUCUUUUCUCUUGAGUUAAGAGAAGCUCACCAGAGAUGACCACGCAGUCACAGUGUAUAGCUAAUUGGAAGUCUUUAUUGCAGCCAGCUUGGCUCACACCCAAGUGUUUCUGUGUAGGAGUGGCCCCAAGUAUCCAGAGCAUAGGGGUUUUCAGGAGCAGAGAUCUCUUCCAGGCAUCUUUCUCAGCAACUGCAAGGUGAGCUUCACAGAGUAAGCAGUUCAAAGAAAGAAGUUUUAACAGAAGCUAAGUAGUUAGCCAGGAAGGAUUUUUGCACAGACUGGCAGGUAAGAUAAAGGGUUAGCUACCUGGUAAUGGUCCACACAAACAAGCAGUUUUAACAGACUGCUGGGAGAUCCCAGCCUAGAAUAAAGUUUAGGUCGUUUCCCAUGGGAUUCUCUAUCAGAGAUCAGAAUCUAAUUAAACCUGACUCAGCAAGAAUACAAGAUGGUGGAACCUCUGCACUGUCUUGUCCCACCACAUUUGGGCUGCUGUUUAUUUCUGUUCCUUCAAGAAGAACUAUAGAACAUUCUCUUAUACUCUAAAAUCUUCUAAAUAGUUGAAAAUGCAAGACUGGCUACCAUGCCCCUUCCCAUCUACAUGCAAUCUUGUCUAGAAAAAUGACCUGUAUAGCAGCUGUUUUUCUUUCGAAAUAACUAUUGAACAGUCACCAAAGGGGAGAAGAGAAAUUAAAGACAUUAACACCAAAACUGCUGAUUAAUCCCAUCCUGUAAACAAAGC